rnacentral:rRNA from 1 species
AAAAACUGAGGUGGUGUAAGAUGGGCCCGCGUCUGAUUAGGUAGUUGGUGGGGUAGAAGCCUACCAAGCCGACGAUCAGUAGCCGACCUGAGAGGGCGACCGGCCACAUUGGGACUGAGACACGGCCCAAACUCCUACGGGAGGCAGCAGUGGGGAAUAUUGCACAAUGGGGGAAACCCUGAUGCAGCGACGCCGCGUGAGUGAGGAAGUAUUUCGGUAUGUAAAGCUCUAUCAGCAGGGAAGAAAAUGACGGUACCUGACUAAGAAGCCCCGGCUAACUACGUGCCAGCAGCCGCGGUAAUACGUAGGGGGCAAGCGUUAUCCGGAUUUACUGGGUGUAAAGGGAGCGUAGACGGAUAAGCAAGUCUGAUGUGAAAAUCCGGGGCCCAACCCCGGAAUUGCAUUGGAAACUGCAUAUCUAGAGUGUCGGAGAGGCAAGUGGAAUUCCUGGUGUAGUGGUGAAAUGCGUAGAUAUCAGGAGGAACACCAGUGGCGAAGGCGGCUUGCUGGACGAUGACUGACGUUGAGGCUCGAAAGCGUGGGGAGCAAACAGGAUUAGAUACCCUGGUAGUCCACGCCGUAAACGAUGACUACUAGGUGUCGGGAGGCAAAGCCUUUCG